UGGAAAAUGUGAGGGUCAAAUUUGUGUGUUUUUGUUUGCUCAUUUCUAUGAAGUCUGAAAUCAAUUUUAGUUUUAGUUUUACCUUGUAAGUGUCGUUUAUCUCUCUCAUUCUCAAGAUAAUGGGUUUUUUUUAUUGGGGCUUCACAUGCUUAAAAUCUUUGGAAUGAUCCUUGUAUCUGUUUGCAGUGAAGAAACUGAAUGUUAUAGUUUUCAAGGACUAGAGUGAUGCACAAUUUCUUGAACUGAUAUCCAACAUCUAAUAAAUUCAGCAUGCCAAUAUUACAAAUGUAGAAAACUAUAUAUUGAAUAUUGUCAUUUUCCAAUAUUUAAUUAUCUGUGCUUCUUUCUGGUCAAUAAUUGGUAUCCCAAAACUGGUUUUAUACCACAAGCGUCUAACAUCUAAUUGAUCGAUAGUAGACAAUGAUUUGAUUCUAACCUCCACAUCAUGUCAUUUGACUUCCCAAAGAGUUCCAUGACCAAGUGAAGGAUACAGGAAGGAAAAUUUGUUCCAGACCAACUUAAAAGUUAUGCCAUUAAAACUUGUCACCUUCUUUCAAAUUCUAUAUUUUUAAUUCACAUAAUGUUAGUUAGUUCCUACACUUAUAUAAUUUGACAACAAUGUAGUUAAUUCAUGCACAUAUUAUGCUAAUUGCUAAUAUUUGAUUUUGAAUUGGUUUCAGAGAGUUGCAUAAACUUUGGUAGAGCUAGAGGAAGAGCUAAGAGUUGCUUCUCUACAUGAUGAGAGGAGAUGGAUCUGCAUAAACUAAAUUGUUUGAGAGAAACUCUCAAAGAGGUGAGGAUAGCAGACAACAUAGCCAACAAUCUGAUGAUGAUAGUAUAUACAUGUGGUUGGAGGCAUUAACAAGAAGGGAAACAUAUUUGGAUUAGGAUCUCAAGCAGCCACUAUCAAAGAAUCUUUGAAAUCCAGUGAAGUUUAGUUUUAGUUAUUUUCCCUUAUGUAUUUUCGUUAAAUCAAUUAUAUGUAUUUUUUUGUGUUGGACAACUUUAAGUUUGAUAUUAUUAUGUAGUGCCGUAGUAGCGCAUUUGAUACUUUGUAAGAAUGACAUACAUUUUUAUGUUAAUUUGCAAAUUUGGUGUCGA